rnacentral:rRNA from 1 species
UACGGAGGGGGCUAGCGUUGUUCGGAAUUACUGGGCGUAAAGCGUACGUAGGCGGCUUUGUAAGUUAGAGGUGAAAGCCCGGGGCUCAACUCCGGAAUUGCCUUUAAGACUGCAUCGCUUGAAUCAUGGAGAGGUGAGUGGAAUUCCGAGUGUAGAGGUGAAAUUCGUAGAUAUUCGGAAGAACACCCGUGGCGAAAGCGGCUCUCUGGGACGGUACUGACGCUGAGGAGCGAAAAGCGUGGGGAGCAAACAGG